AUCUAUGGCCACACCAGCCAAGCGCUCCUGAUCUCGUUUGGUGUUGGAAGUUAAGCAGGAUGGGAGCUAGUUAGCAUGUGGGUGGGAAAACAAGGCACUAAGUUGCUAAUACUU
rnacentral:rRNA from 1 species